UGGGGGAUAUUGCACAAUGGGCGAAAGCCUGAUGCAGCGACGCCGCGUGGGGGAUGAAGGCCUUCGGGUUGUAAACUUCUUUUGCUCUGAACAAGGCAUGCUAAUGGGUGUGUUGAGUGUAGGGGUUGAUUAGCGCCGGCUAACUACGUGCCAGCAGCCGCGGUAAUACGUAGGGCGCGAGCGUUGUCCGGAAUUAUUGGGCGUAAAGGGCUUGUAGGUGGCUGGUUGCGUCUGUCGUGAAAGCUCAUGGCUUAACUGUGGGGUUGCGGUGGGUACGGGCUGUCUUGAGUGCAGUAGGGGAGGCUGGAAUUCCUGGUGUAGCGGUGGAAUGCGCAGAUAUCAGGAGGAAUACCGGUGGCGAAGGCGGGUCUCUGGGCUGUUACUGACACUGAGGAGCGAAAGCAUGGGGAGCGAACAGG
rnacentral:rRNA from 1 species